rnacentral:rRNA from 1 species
GUGGGGAAUAUUGGACAAUGGGCGCAAGCCUGAUCCAGCCAUGCCGCGUGAGUGAUGAAGGCCUUAGGGUUGUAAAGCUCUUUCAGUAGGGAAGAUAAUGACGGUACCUACAGAAGAAGCCCCGGCUAACUUCGAGCCAGCAGCCGCGGUAAUACGAAGGGGGCUAGCGUUGUUCGGAUUUACUGGGCGUAAAGCGCACGUAGGCGGAUUGGUCAGUUAGAGGUGAAAUCCCGAAGCUCAACUCCAGAACUGCCUUUAAUACUGCCAGUCUAGAGUCCAGAAGAGGUGAGUGGAACUCCUAGUGUAGAGGUGGAAUUCGUAGAUAUUAGGAAGAACACCAGUGGCGAAGGCGGCUCACUGGUCUGGUACUGACGCUGAGGUGCGAAAGCGUGGGGAGCAAACAGGAUUAGAAACCCGGGUAGUCC